AUGACAGAUUUAUUUAGUGGGAUACAAGCUGCUAUGGUGAUUAAUCAUGUAGAAAAGAGUGACCAAUCCCCUGAAGAUUCGGUUAGCGACGAGGAUGGUUCAGGUGGUUCCACUGGAUUACCAGGGACACCAUGUUUUACUUCCAGGCUUUCAUUGCUCAAAGUUGGUUCGGUUGUUGCCAAGUUCAGUGAUUUCAAGCGGCAGCUAGUUAUGGAGACUGGUUUUGGGGGGUUUCUAGAGGUGAAGGCAUGGCAGAAGAUUAAUCUGAAGUAUAGCGCUUUUUUAAUGGACCGAGUGCAUGUAGAAUCCAGCACAAUCCACCUUGAGGAACAGGGCGUGCUUGAACUGUCCGAACAGAAGCUUAAUUAUGUUUUUGGCAUCCCCUCCGGUGAAUUUGAUAUAAACGGCGAAGGUGUCGAGCCAUCAGAAGCCUGCAUCGAGUACACCCGAAUGGCAGCAACAUUCAGCGACAAAGGCACACAUAGCCUAAAAGCAGCUGAAAAUGUUUUGCUUGGAGCUAUAUCAGAAGCGUCCUCCCAAGUACAGCAGGACUGUUUCAAGAUUGCAUUUGUUAUUUUUAUAAUCGGUCAUGUGCUGGCUCCCACCUCCAAACAUGAUUAUAUUUCCAUAGAUUGCUGGGUUGCACUGAAUGACAUUAGCAAGAUCAAGAGUUAG
rnacentral:rRNA from 1 species